UCUGCGGGCAGAUGAAGUGCACAUGCGUGUCGAUCGCGCCGGCCGUCAGGAUGCGGCCGUUCCCCGCGAUGACCUCGGUCGUCGGCCCGACCACCAGGUCCGGGUGGACGCCGUCCAUGGUGUCGGGGUUGCCGGCCUUGCCGAGCGCGACGAUGCGGCCGUCGCGGAUCCCGACGUCGGCCUUGACGAUGCCCCAGUGGUCGAGCACGACCACGCCGGUGAUGACGACGUCCGGGGCGCCCUCGGCCCGGGUGGCCCGGCCCUGGCCCAUCGACUCG
rnacentral:sRNA from 1 species